UACGAAGGGAGCUAGCGUUGUUCGGAAUUACUGGGCGUAAAGGGCGCGUAGGCGGCCUUGUAAGUUAGAUGUGAAAGCCCCGGGCUUAACCUGGGAACUGCAUUUAAGUACUGCAAAGCUUGAGGACGAGAGAGGAAAGUGGAAUUGUGAGUGUAGAGGUGAAAUUCGUAGAUAUUCACAAGAACACCAGUGGCGAAGGCGACUUCCUGGCCUGUUCUUGACGCUGAGGCGCGAAAGCUAGGGGAGCAAACGGG
rnacentral:rRNA from 1 species